AGUUUGAUCCUGGCUCAGAUUGAACGCUGGCGGCAGGCUUAACACAUGCAAGUCGAGCGGUAACAGAAAUUAGCUUGCUAAUUUGCUGACGAGCGGCGGACGGGUGAGUAACGCGUAGGAAUCUGCCUAGUAGAGGGGGACAACAUGUGGAAACGCAUGCUAAUACCGCAUACGCCCUUUUGGGGAAAGGAGGGGAUCUUCGGACCUUCCGCUAUUAGAUGAGCCUGCGUGAGAUUAGCUAGUUGGUGGGGUAAAGGCCUACCAAGGCGACGAUCUCUAACUGGUCUGAGAGGAUGACCAGUCACACUGGGACUGAGACACGGCCCAGACUCCUACGGGAGGCAGCAGUGGGGAAUAUUGGACAAUGGGCGCAAGCCUGAUCCAGCCAUGCCGCGUGUGUGAAGAAGGCCUUAGGGUUGUAAAGCACUUUCAGUGGGG
rnacentral:rRNA from 1 species